rnacentral:rRNA from 1 species
UUUAAGGUCUAAUCUGCCCAAUGAGGUAUUAAAUGGCCGCGGUAUUUUGACCGUGCAAAGGUAGCAUAAUAAUUAGUUUUUUAAUUGAAAGCUGGAAUGAAUGAUUGGACGAGAAAGUAGCUGUCUCAAAUUAAUUUAAUUAGAAUUUUAUUUUUAAGUAAAAAAGCUUAGAUUUUUUUAAAAGACGAGAAGACCCUAUAGAGUUUUAUAAUUUUAUUUAUAAAUAAAUUUUAUAGAAUUAUAAUCUUAUUAUUUAUAGAAUUAUUUUGUUGGGGUGAUAGAAAAAUUAGAUAAACUUUUUUUGAAUUUUAACAUUAAUUUAUGGUUUAAUGAUCCAUUUUUUAUGAUUAUAAGAUUAAAUUACCUUAGGGAUAACAGCGUAAUUUUUUUUUAGAGUUCUUAUCGAAAAAAAAGAUUGCGACCUCGAUGUUGGAUUAAAAUAUACGUUUGGUGUAGGGGCUAAAUGGUUAGGUCUGUUCGACCUUUAAAAUUUUACA